rnacentral:rRNA from 1 species
AACGGAGGAGGCAAGCGUUAUCCGGAAUUACUGGGCGUAAAGAGCGCGCAGGCGGUUGUACAAGUCAACAUUUAAAGCCCAUCGCUAAACGGUGAGAGGAGAGGUGAUACUGUAGGACUAGAGAGUGAUAGAGGUAAGUGGAAUUUCCCGUGUAGCGGUGAAAUGCGUAGAGAUGGGGAGGAACACCAGUGGCGAAGGCGGCAUACUGGGGGAAAACUGACGCUGAGGCGCGAAAGCAUGGGGAGCGAACGGG